GGGGAAUCUUAGACAAUGGGGGAAACCCUGAUCUAGCCAUGCCGCGUGAGUGAUGAAGGCCUUAGGGUUGUAAAGCUCUUUCAGCUGGGAAGAUAAUGACGGUACCAGCAGAAGAAGCCCCGGCUAACUCCGUGCCAGCAGCCGCGGUAAUACGGAGGGGGCUAGCGUUGUUCGGAAUUACUGGGCGUAAAGCGCACGUAGGCGGACUGGAAAGUUGGAGGUGAAAUCCCAGGGCUCAACCUUGGAACUGCCUUCAAAACUAUCCGUCUGGAGUUCGAGAGAGGUGAGUGGAAUACCGAGUGUAGAGGUGAAAUUCGUAGAUAUUCGGUGGAACACCAGUGGCGAAGGCGGCGCACUGGCUCGAUACUGACGCUGAGGUGCGAAAGCGUGGGGAGCAAAC
rnacentral:rRNA from 1 species